CCCUUAGAUGUCCUGGGCUGCACGCGCGCUACACUGAUGUGUCCAGUAAGCACCUAACCUCUUCCGAAAGGAACGGGUAACCUUUGCAAAGCACAUCGUGAUGGGGAUAGAUUAUUGCAAUUAUUAGUCUUGAACGAGGAAUUCCUAGUAAGCACAAGUCAUCAGCUUGCGUUGAUUACGUCCCUGCCCUUUGUACACACCGCCCGUCGCUCCUACCGAUUGAAUGGUCCGGUGAAGCGUUUGGACUAUGGUUUUCUGAUGGUCCGCCGUUGGAUUACCGUGGGAAGUUCGUUAAACCUUAUCAUUUAGAGGAAGGAGAAGUCGUAACA
rnacentral:rRNA from 1 species